UCUCCCCAAUGUUCCUUCUAGGCAUAAAAGCACCUUGCUCACUAGAUAUUAGAGUUGAUAAAAACGGCUUCACUCGAUUUGCCAAAAUCUUUGCUAUAAUUUUAUAAACAGUGUUAUACAAACUGAGAGGUCUGUAAUUAUUAACAUUAUUUGGAUUUUAUUUCUUAGGAACAAGGGCUUUAAUGAAAGUAUUCUUUCAACUUAUAAGCAUAGAAUUAGUCAUAAAUACAUCUUGGACA
rnacentral:lncRNA from 1 species